AGCGUUUUUUUGUUUACCUGGCGAGUUCGCCCGGCAUUAUCGCUGUCACUUUUUAAUCUCAGCCCGAGCCGAAGGAAUUCAGAAUGAGAAAUGAGACUGUCAUUAAGAGCUUGAACCCUUUCCAAGAGAUUAUAUCACAGCAGGAACUGCCAGAGAUAUUUAACGUUGCAACACAGCAGAAAAAACACAAUCGCUCUGUUCCUUCGUCAACCAAGGCGCUCGUUACGCUCGUUUUUUUUUUAACGAACGGGGGUGUUUUAAGACGGAAAGUGAUUUUUUUGGCUGGUAUUUUUGAACGUUUGUGGUUUAAGAACAUCGUUCACGAUCAUGUCGAGAGAUUGGAAGAAAGAAGAUGAAACAACGGGAUCCAGAGAACAGGAGAACCGGAGAAUUUUCAGUCCCUAAGAAGGAAAUAUGGGGGCAGUACUGGAACUGUGGGCUAUUUUCCUUGUUAUCCUGGCCACGGUGUUCAUAAUGUCCUUCCUGAUGCUGUUCCCCGCUGGAGUUGUUAUCAUAUGGAGGAAAAAACGAAUGCCGGACAUCACCAUAACGGGAACUGUUUAAUGGAACACGAUGGACCAUUCCAGAGACCUUGAUGGACUUAAACCCAAGACAAGCCCCCAAAGGGGGGGCAGUAAGAGAAAGAAGGAUGUUCUUCCGUUUCACGAAUUUAAGGAUUAUAGAGAUGCUCUAUGGCCAAAAUGGAAGCAGCCCUAGAUAAUCUGGCAUGGCUGGACUCCAUAGACCUUGAAGCUCUAAUGGCCUCCUAAUUCCAUGAUCCUGCAGGACCAGCCAGUUAACAAAACCAGUGGUUACUACACUAACUAUGGCUUCAGACUAAGGAGUUCCACACCUCACUGUUAGACAUGUAGGUUUCUAUUAAAUUUCAGACUUUUCUAGUAGGCUGUAUGCAUUAUUUUUGUUGCCAUGCCUUCUAGCCCGGGUUCACAAGGCAUCUGGAGACAUCCGACUCCAGAUACUCAACAUAAUGGUCCAUCAGAGUACAAUUUCACCCACCGUCUGGAACACAAGACCUCCUUAUUCCAUCAACUAAAUGAUAAAUAAAUGUAUAAGGGACAUCCAAGACGCCUACUCUUGGCCACUACUUUUGGCUUCUUGUAAGCCCACACCAUACAUCAAACAGAUGUAGGAUCGCUUGACCAUGAAUAGCUUGUUGGUUCUUCUGCUACUCUACGUCAUCACAUAACUCGUACAGAUAGCCUGUUGUUUAGGAUGUAACGCAGAAACUUGACAUUUGAGCACAUCGACAGUGUGGGCACCUGAUUUGAUGGUAUUAUUCACAUUUAUUGUCUUUGCUCCGUGAUGAUCUGUGAUUGGAUGAUAGUCUCAAGAGCACCUCACCAUAUAAAAUACUCUGAUCGACCUGCCCUCGUCUGGUAAUAACACGUGAGCUUGAAGACUAACGAUAAAAACGUUAUAAACGUAUAUAAAAGUAUUAGACAUCUUUUGAGGGAAGCGCUUGUGUUGUAUUCUCCAGGUCCCCUGAGGACCCAAACAAGCAGUAAUCUAAAAGUAUAGAGCAGAAACAUUAAUUUUUUUUUUCUAAAAAUGAUAUGUAAAGGUAUAGAUCAAAUAUUAUUUCGCUGG